AUUGAACGCUGGCGGCAGGCCUAACACAUGCAAGUCGAGCGGAUGAAGGGAGCUUGCUCCUGGAUUCAGCGGCGGACGGGUGAGUAAUGCCUAGGAAUCUGCCUGGUAGUUGGGGAUAACGUCCGGAAACGGGCGCUAAUACCGCAUACGUCCUGAUGGAGAAAGUGGGGGAUCUUCGGACCUCACGCUAUCAGAUGAGCCUAGGUCGGAUUAGCUAGUUGGUUGGGUAAGGGCCUACCAAGGCGACGAUCCGUAACUGGUCUGAGAGGAUGAUCAGUCACACUGGAACUGAGACACGGUCCAGACUCCUACGGGAGGCAGCAGUGGGGAAUAUUGGACAAUGGGCGAAAGCCUGAUCCAGCCAUGCCGCGUGAGUGAAGAGGGUCUUCGGAUUGUAAAACACUUUAAGUUGGGAGGAAGGGCAGUAAGUUAAUACCUUGCUGUUUUGACGUUACCAACAGAAAAAGCACCGGCUAACUUCGUG
rnacentral:rRNA from 1 species